UACGUAGGGGGCUAGCGUUGUCCGGAUUUAUUGGGCGUAAAGAGCGUGUAGGCGGCCAAGUAGGUCCGUUGUGAAACUGGAGGCUUAACCUCCAGCUGUCGAUGGAAACCAUUUGGCUAGAGUCCGGAAGAGGAGAGUGGAAUUCCUGGUGUAGCGGUGAAAUGAUGCAGAUAUCAGGAAGAACACCCGUGGCGAAGGCGGCUCUCUGGGACGGUACUGACGCUGAGACGCGAAAGCGUGGGGAGCGAACAGG
rnacentral:rRNA from 1 species